rnacentral:lncRNA from 1 species
CGCUUCGCCCCCGGGCCCCCGGCGCGGCCGCCUGCCUGAGACUGGGCGCCGACCGGACGCCGGAGCCCUACUGCUGUGUCCACGGCCCCUCGGCCGGCUUAGGGGUACGAGCAAGGGCGCGCGGGAGCCGGGAUCGGGAGCAGAGAUGCGGCGUCCGCGUGCCCACUCCUUCCUCUCUCUGCCACAGCGCAUCUUCCGGGUCUCGCUCCUCCGCCCCCAUCGGCGCCGGACCCUCCGCGCCGGGCGCUUGGGAUCCGAGGCCCAGAAGAAGGGCCGCGCAUCUUAGGGGCGCCGCCAUCCAGGUCCGCGGAGUGUCUGCACUGGCUGUGGCCUACAGGGGACAGGCGUGGAGGUCGCGGCCCCGUAACCCAGGGUAAAGUGGAGCCGCUUGCUUCUGGGUACCAGCCGGGUUCCUCGGCUCAGAAGGGCACGCCUCGCCUGUGCCCCUGCGCGUCCGGGGAGUCACUUGGGACGCAAACGCUCCAGGGUCGCGCCCGCACCAAGCUCCCUCCCAGGGACAACGCCUCCUGGCCCCGCCCGGCCGGAAUCAUUUCCGCGUAGGGCAGGGCUCCCACUUCCUCUAAGGCCUCCGCUGGAGAACCCCACACGCUGGACGAGGUCUGGACGACUCUGGGCGGCGGGCACCCGCUAUGCACUGCCUUCUGGUGCUCGUGGGAACCGUUAUCUGCCUCCGAACCGAUGCCUCCAGGCCAGGGGGACCCUCGCUUCAGUGUCGCCGGUGGAACCUAGCAGCCCGGGCUGGUUCAGUCCAGGUUCUCUGGCCACGUCUGUUCCACAACUCACCUGGCGAGUGUGGCUGACUUCCACACGUCUUUACUGCUCACCUACUGUCUUUGAGGUGCGGGGUGCGGUGGGGACCCAAAGACAAAUGACGCACGGGAGGGAGUUGAUCUGGCCGCACCGCGGAGCAGGGCGCCUGCACGCAUCCCCUACUCGUUCGUUCUGUGAAGUUGGGGGGGCCACCAAAGGGCGCAGGCCCAGCUGGGUGUGCAGAGGUGCGAAGAGGACCCAGGCCGGGUCUCAGUUCUUAGAACGCAGGGUCAGGGGCCGGUGUCAGGGUCUGCGCGAUCUGAUCCUGUGUGCAGCCCCGGGAAUCCUGGCGGCAGGGCACCGCCUGGCGGGGGCGUGGGGGAGGCCUCUGUUGGGUGAAGUGGACUAGAGGACAAGACAGAAGCGGGGCAGCGAGCGAGAUCAGCAGAGCCAGUGCGACGCAGGUGCGCGCUCCGGCCUGCGACUUGGGCGGGUGCGGCUGAGCCCAGGGCCGAGCCCUGGUGGCCUUCUGUCACUUGCGGGUCCGGGCGCAGGUGCGGGCUUGCGAUAGACAGGUGGGUGCAUGCAACCCCGGUGCACUCCCGGCAGAGUGUCGAUUUCGUUCUCUCCCGGAUCCUGAGCAUGAAGUGAGGGCCUUGCUGCAGGCAUGGUUGCGGGAUGUAGCCAAAAGACAAACAAAAACGAAUACUUAUACUUUAUGUAUAAAAUAUAAUAUGUGUGUUUGGACUGUUACAUAUUAUAUAAAAGUGACAAGUGCAUGUUUAUGUGUGAAUUUAUGUAUAUGUCUUUACAUUAACUAUGAAUGCAUAAAUAUAAACACACAGACACACAGGAUGUCAGUUCAUUUGAAUUUCAGAUAAGGGGAUAAUUCUUUAGUGUAAGUAUGAGCCACGUAGUCUUUGGGAACAUAUAUAUAUAUUUUNUUCCCAGGCUAGGGGUCUAAUCGGAGCUGUAGCCGCCGGCCUACGCCAGAGCCACUGCAACGUGGGAUCCCAGCCGCGUCUGCGACCUACGCCACAGCUCACGGCAACGCCGGAUCCUUAACCCACUGAGCGAGUCCGGGGAUCAUACCCGCAACCUCAUGGUUCCUAGUCAGAUUCGUUAACCACUGCGCCACGACGGGAACUCCUGGGAACAUCUUUAACCUAGAAAACUAUUCGUUGCUUAUCUGAAAUUCAGUUUCGGUGCACUUCCUGCCUUUUAUCUGGCAACCAUAGCUGGAGAAGGUCUCAACGCUUCCCAUGUUGGAGCACCAGCGGCAAUCCCGGGUGGGACGCACCGCUACGGCGCCUUUAAAGCGUGGUGGCGUGCCGGGGGUGGGGCGGAGAACUACAAGCCCCACAAUGCUGCGCGUCAUCCCUGAUUUCUGAUUGGCUACUGUGCGUUUC